GUUUUUUUUUUUAAAGGAUUUCUGUUUGAAUUUUGUCUUUUAUUUAUUUUAUUUAUUUCUUUAUUCAUUCAUUUAUUAUCUGCUUGUUUGUUUACGCGUACAUGCCGGCGUAAGCACGCACGGAUGCACGCCUCUGCCGCCGCCGCCGCCGCCGCCACCACGCAUGUGCACACGUGCCUGCCUGCCUAGCUUGCGGCUAAACACUCACACCCCAUCCGCCUUAACUAACUCUGCCUCUGGAGACUAAAAAAAGCUUCCUGCCUUGCUCUCCCCUUCAACUCAUGAUGUGGAUAAUCACUGGAAGAAGGGCCCUGCUUUGGGAGCUGACCAUUUCUCACAAGCCAGCGCGGGUCGUUGUGCCUUGGAAUGCUUCGCAACCUGACACCGCAGUGCUACGAUCCCUCCCCCACCCAUGCUGCCCAAGCCUUUGAACAGGCAGAACUGACGGAACAAUGGCACACACACACCUGCCACUAGAAACUGCUGCCAGAUGAACCUUUCUGACUUAAGUGGCUGGCUGCUGUUUGCUUUGCUUAUUUGUUUGGGGAUGGGGCGUGAAGACGAUUCUAAACCUCCAGGAACUACCUCAUGCCACCUGGGCUCUGUACCUCACUGAAAUAAACUCAUGGCUGUUUUACAAAAGUGGAA